GCAGCUCCAGUACUUGCUUUCUUGAACCUGUGUGAUGCACAAGAUGUUGAUCCAACCGCACAGGUGAGCUUUUGGUAUGGAGGGUUUCACAUUGAUGCCACCGUAUUAACCCAUCUAUAACAUUAUGACCUUCCCAAAGUGAGCUCUGCAGGGUGGUCAGGACGGCUGGAGACGUGGAGGACGGGGCGGGGAGCCAGGCUCACCAGUGACGUCCUGGGCGAGGCGUGGGGCGCCAGGAGGGACCGAGGCGGACCACCAAGCUGCUCUGAAACGCCCAAGGCCAGGCAGCAUUUUAGUUUUUUGGUUUUUCUUAAUAGUAGUAGUUCUGAUUUUCAUUCUGACAUUUUGCCAAAGCUGUGAUUUGAGAUAAUAUCUUGGGUCAUCCAAGUAGUUGGCUGUUUUUGCCCCUAUUGCUGCUCCUGCUACUAUAGUUUAUACAUUACUCAAUAAGUUUAAAUGUAAACUUAAGAGUUUGAUAUUUGUUACCGCUUUACAAGUGCAAGGGUGUUUGUUACCAGAUGUUAGACGAGCUACCACAGUUUGUUACCAGACAUGGAGGUGAAACCACCUGUUUGUCACCAGACAUGGAGGUGAAACCACCUGUUUGUUACCAGACACGGAGGUGAAACCACCUGUUUGUCACCAGACAUGGAGGUGAAACCACCUGUUUGUUGUCCAGAAUAGGACCCGUGGUGGAGGGCAGCUAGUGGGGAGCAGUGCUGGAGGACCUGCUGGGAAGGACAUCCCUCGUUGGGGUAAAGACACCCGUCUCUGAGAUGUGAAGGCUGCAGAGGACCCACCAGGAUCCCCUUGGAGGACAACAAAUGGACUACGUGAGGUCUUUGGAAGCACUACAGUUCAGAAGGCCUUCCAAAGAAUGAAGCCCAGCCCCCAUGGCUCAGCUAGUGGCGUUCACCGGACCAGGAACCCCGAGACCUGAAGGAGGAGCCGUGUAUCCGGAUGAACACCAUGAGCCUACCCGCCAAGUAUUACUCUGAGCUCUGCAGGGUGGUCAGGACGGCUGGAGACGUGGAGGGCGGGCGGGGAGCCAGGCUCACCAGUGAUCUCCUGGGCGAGGCGUGGGGCGCCAGGAGGGACCGAGGCCGACCACCAAGCUGUUCUGAAACGCUGAAGGACCCGUGGUGGAGGGCAGCUAGUGCGGAGCCGUGCUGGAGGACCUGCUGGGAAGGACAUCCCUCGUUGGGGUAAAGACACCCGUCUCUGAGAUGUGAAGGCUGCAGAGGACCCACCAGGAUCCCCUUGGAGGACAACAAAUGGACUACGUGAGAUCUUUGGAAGCACUACAGUUCAGAAUGCCUUCCAAAGAAUGAAGCCCACCCCCCAUGGCUCAGCUAGUGGCGUUCACCGGACCAGGAACCCGAGACCUGAAGGAGGAGCCGUGCAUCUCGAAGAACACCAUGAGGCUACCCGCCAAGUAUUACUCACUUCCACGAGGAGGGGGACUGUCGGCUGGAGGACCUCCCUACUGGUGGAGCGAGUGACACCCGGCUCUACAGGGAAGACCACGGUGGAGAGAGGGCUGAAGCUGUGCAUCCUGAAGGGGAAACAGGCGCGGUUGAAGUGCUGUGUUCAGUCUGGGAAGGACACACCUGAGCUGUUUCACCCUGAGCUGCUUCACACCUGCAUCUCUAACCAGCUGAAGCCCUUCAGUGACCAACAAAAGGUCCCUCAUCACAGCUUAUCAUCGCUGGCCUGAGGAUUCAUCCUACACUCACACAACGUGACUUUGUCACCAUCUGCUGCACGUUGGGAUGCUAACGUGUUCCACCAGGGGUUCCUUCCUUCCCGCAGUGGGAGUGUUCCUUGUCCUUCAAGGAGUUAGGGUUCAGUGUUAGGGACAGAGUUAGGGAGAGAUGGUUGAGUCCUGGCUGGUUUACGAUGAACUGCUCUAACGCUUUGCCAAAAUGUUUCAAUGUGCAAACACUCACAAACACAUACAAUGUAUAAUAAGUGUUUAUGAAAUAAAUUCUGUUUAUAAUUCUGCAUGUUUGUGUGGGGGUUUUAUUACCAUUAAACAAUUUUCUCUCACCGCAACCUCCCC
ensembl:lncRNA